GAAAGGAGCCAAGGCGGAUAUCUUCAUAAGAUAAGACAGCGUCGGGUCGCUAAGGCCCGGGGAAAGAUACAGUCCCGCCUCGGGGAAGAGAGCGCUAGGCUCUUAGCGAAGCCUGUGGCUCCGUCGAAUCCCCGGGCAGAGGAGAGGGAAGCGGACAACUCACCCCGGGACAGCAAGGUUACAUCAGACUUUCUUCAGAAAGUGGGGGAAGUGAUCCAGGAAGCAGGAGUCAGAUAUUCGAAGCUCAUUGUCCAUUGGUAAUGCCAUUAAUUUCAAUUAUGUUUGUUGGUCACUGAAAGCAGAAAGGAGGAUGUGCUUAAUUAUUCAUAGGAAAAACUACUCCAAGACCUAGUGGAAAAUUUUCAAUAGAGUUAACCAAGGCACUACAGCUCUCUUUGUAGGAUUAAUUCAUGCCAUUAGAUGGAGCAAUUGAUCCACUGAAAAUGAUUGUUGCUGCUGUCUGAGGUCUAGUAUUGGGAAAUUCAGCUUUAUUAUAAAGCCGAAAACAGAUUUCCCUAAUAAUAAAAAGAUAAAGCAUGAAAACUGGGUUACUUAG
rnacentral:lncRNA from 1 species